rnacentral:rRNA from 1 species
AUUGAACGCUGGCGGCAGGCCUAACACAUGCAAGUCGAGCGAGCGGCGGACGGGUGAGUAAUGUCUGGGAACCUGCCUGAUGGAGGGGGAUAACUACUGGAAACGGUAGCUAAUACCGCAUACCAUCAGAUGUGCCCAGAUGGGAUUAGCUAGUAGGUGGGGUAACGGCUCACCUAGGCGACGAUCCCUAGCUGGUCUGAGAGGAUGACCAGCCACACUGGAACGGAGACACGGGCCAGACGCCUAGGGGAGGCAGCGGUGGGUAAUAUUGAACAAUGGGCCCAAGCCUGAUGCAGCCAUGCCGCGUGUGUGAAGAAGGCCUUCGGGUUGUAAAGCACUUUCAGCGGGGAGGCGUUACCCGCAGAAGAAGCACCGGCUAACUCCGUGCCAGCAGCCGCGGUAAUAC